UACAGAGGUCUCAAGCGUUGUUCGGAUUCAUUGGGCGUAAAGGGUGCGUAGGCGGCGCGGUAAGUCGGGUGUGAAAUCUCGGGGCUUAACUCCGAAACUGCAUUCGAUACUGCCGUGCUUGAGGACUGGAGAGGAGACUGGAAUUUACGGUGUAGCGGUGAAAUGCGUAGAUAUCGUAAGGAAGACCAGUGGCGAAGGCGGGUCUCUGGACAGUUCCUGACGCUGAGACACGAAGGCCAGGGGAGCAAACGGG
rnacentral:rRNA from 1 species